UACGUAGGUGGCGAGCGUUGUCCGGAUUUACUGGGCGUAAAGGGCGCGCAGGCGGUAUAUCAAGUCAGCUGUCAAAGACUGGGGCUCAACCCUGGUAUGCGGUUGAAACUGAUAUGCUGGAGUGCUGUAGAGGCAAGUGGAAUUCCCAGUGUAGCGGUGAAAUGCGUAGAUAUUGGGAAGAACACCGGUGGCGAAGGCGACUCGCUGGGCAGCAACUGACGCUGAGGCGCGAAAGCCAGGGGAGCAAACGGGAUUA
rnacentral:rRNA from 1 species